rnacentral:rRNA from 1 species
UACGUAGGGCGCAAGCGUUUGUCCGGAAUUAUUGGGCGUAAAGAGCUCGUAGGCGGCCUGUUGCGUCCGCUGUGAAAUCCCGGGGCUCAACCCCCGGGCCUGCAGUGGAUACGGGCUGGCUAGAGGCAGGCAGGGGGAGAACGGAAUUCCUGGUGUAGCGGUGAAAUGCGCAGAUAUCAGGAGGAACACCGGUGGCGAAGGCGGU